GCCCCUUUAGUGCAGUGGUUAGCACGUUCCUCAGAUGAAGUCUUGCAAACACAAGCUGAGUAAGGUCUCAUCAGUCUAAAGAGACUGAAAAGUCUUGCUCCCUGCCUGUGAAGACUCCUGAAUUGGAAAAGCGUGAGUUCGAUUCUCACAGGGGGCG
rnacentral:tRNA from 1 species